AGUUAACGCUGGCGGCGUGCCUAACACAUGCAAGUCGAGCGGAGCAGUACCGGAGUAUUGGGCUGCUUAGCGGCAGACGGGUGAGUAACACGUAAACAACCUACCCUUAAAGGGGAGACAACCGGGCGAAAGUCUGGCUAAUAUCCCAUAAAAUCACUGGAAGGCAUCUUUUGGUGAUGAAAGCCGAAAGGCGAUUAAGGAGGGGUUUGCGGCCUAUCAGCUAGUUGGUGAUGUAACGGACCACCAAGGCGAUGACGGGUAGCCGAUCUAAAAGGAUGAACGGCCACAAGGGCACUGAGAUACGGGCCCUACUCCUACGGGAGGCAGCAGUGGGGAAUUUUGGACAAUGGACGCAAGUCUGAUCCAGCGACGCCGCGUGAAGGACGAAGGUUUUCGGAUUGUAAACUUCUUUUGCAGGGGGCGAAAGCCAGCAAUGGUUUGACAGUACUCUGCGAAUAAGCCACGGCUAACUACGUGCCAGCAGCCGCGGUAAUACGUAGGUGGCGAGCGUUACUCGGAAUUACUAGGCGUAAAGCGUGUGUAGGCGGGAACUUAAGUCAGUUGUGAAAUCCCGUGGCUCAACCACGGCGGGACGGCUGAUACUGGGUUUCUUGAAUUGGGUAGAGGAAGUUGGAAUUCCGAGUGUAGCGGUGGAAUGCGUAGAUAUUCGGAAGAACGCCAAAGGCGAAAGCAGAUUUCUGGGCCUUAAUUGACGCUGAGACACGAAAGCUAGGGGAGCGAACAGGAUUAGAUACCCGGGUAGUCCUAGCCGUAAACGAUGUAGACCAGGUGUGGGAGGUAUCGACCCCUUCCGUGCCGACGCAAACGCAUUAAGUCUACCGCCUGGGGAGUACGGCCGCAAGGCUAAACUCAA
rnacentral:rRNA from 1 species